GAGUUUGAUCCUGGCUCAGAUUGAACGCUGGCGGCAGGCCUAACACAUGCAAGUCGAACGGUAACGGAAAGCAGCUUGCUGCUUUGCUGACGAGUGGCGGACGGGUGAGUAAUGUCUGGGAAACUGCCUGAUGGAGGGGGAUAACUACUGGAAACGGUAGCUAAUACCGCAUAACGUCGCAAGACCAAAGAGGGGGACCUUCGGGCCUCUUGCCAUCGGAUGUGCCCAGAUGGGAUUAGCUUGUCGGUGGGGUAACGGCUCACCAAGGCGACGAUCUCUAGCUGGUCUGAGAGGAUGACCAGCCACACUGGAACUGAGACACGGUCCAGACUCCUACGGGAGGCAGCAGUGGGGAAUAUUGCACAAUGGGCGCAAGCCUGAUGCAGCCAUGCCGCGUGUAUGAAGAAGGCCUUCGGGUUGUAAAGUACUUUCAGCGGGGAGGAAGGGAGUAAAGUUAAUACCUUUGCUCAUUGACGUUACCCG
rnacentral:rRNA from 1 species